AACGAACAGACUAAAAUAU
rnacentral:sRNA from 1 species